rnacentral:rRNA from 1 species
CUUCGGGGUACUCGAGCGGCGAACGGGUGAGUAACACGUGAGCAACCUGCCCUAGGCUUUGGGAUAACCCUCGGAAACGGGGGCUAAUACCGAAUAUUCACUCAUGGGCGCAUGUUUGUGGGUGGAAAGUUUUUCGGCUUGGGAUGGGCUCGCGGCCUAUCAGCUUGUUGGUGGGGUAAUGGCCUACCAAGGCGACGACGGGUAGCCGGCCUGAGAGGGCGACCGGCCACACUGGGACUGAGACACGGCCCAGACUCCUACGGGAGGCAGCAGUGGGGAAUAUUGCACAAUGGGCGGAAGCCUGAUGCAGCGACGCCGCGUGAGGGAUGACGGCCUUCGGGUUGUAAACCUCUUUCAGCAGGGACGAAGCGCAAGUGACGGUACCUGCAGAAGAAGCGCCGGCCAACUACGUGCCAGCAGCCGCGGUAAGACGUAGGGCGCGAGCGUUGUCCGGAUUUAUUGGGCGUAAAGAGCUCGUAGGCGGCUUGUCGCGUCGACUGUGAAAACCCGUGGCUCAACUGCGGGCCUGCAGUCGAUACGGGCAGGCUAGAGUUCGGUAGGGGAGACUGGAAUUCCUGGUGUAGCGGUGAAAUGCGCAGAU